AGUGUGGAUGGCAUGCAGUGGGAUGGUGAAGGAUGGGGCCAGAGGAAGGAAGGACAUGCCCGCCCAGCUGUGUUUGGGAUGCUGCCUCCCUGGAGAGGGGUCAUGAAGCCUAGCAGGCAGUGGAGCCCAGCAGGACUUCCCCGGACUACAGGGGGCUUCUGAGCCACUGGGCUCCCCAGAGUGAUGAGAGACCUGCUGUGUAGACUACUCCUGAAAGACUUUCAUGAAGGCACAAAAGCAACAGGUUUGCUGAGUGGUGCUGCCCGUGCCCCAUAAGGAGAACGGUGUAUACUGUUUCCACACGAUGC
ensembl:lncRNA novel transcript